CGAGGCGGCUUUGCUGUUCUUCCCGGUGCGGGUGAGCCGCCUCGGGGCGGGGGGGAGCUUUAUCCCCUUGCACGACUGGACGAAGCGUGCCCCGCUGUGCCGUUAGCAGAGCGGCUCUGCCUGGCCCCGCUUCAGCCGCAGGCCCGGCCAGGCAGGUGUUCUGCGGGAAGGUGUCAGCCCGAGAAGGCAAAAAGUCAUUCCAGGAUAAGUCCGGCUCGGCCCGGCAUGCCACACGGGCUGUACGAGGAGCCCGUGAAGAGGAGCUGCAGGGAACACGGCGGCGCUGAGGCUCAGCCACGCAGCAUCAGCCCCUGCGAGCGCAGCAGGCGUGUGAUGAGCAGUUCAACGGGUAGAAACAUAGCGAGGGCAUUGGCAGCUUUUACCUCGGCAUCAUCCAGCCCUGCUGGAGAGGCACUCGACACACAACAGUGGUAAAAUUGCUGGCAGAGGUACAGCCCCGCUCGCGCUGGCUCUCCUAUCGCUCCUGCCGCCAGACGGAGGGAAACUGUACGCCUCGGAGUCUGGAGUUAGAGGAGUCAAAGAGACUGUGAAUCCUCAGAGAGGGUGAUACUUCCAGGAGUUGGCAUUUAGAGUGGCAACGGGGUUGUUUUUAGGAAGAGAAGGGAAAAGACGGAAGGAUGAUGUUGACCCAGCAGCCUCACAAAGCUACCGCACUUAAUCCACUUAUCGCUCUGAAUUCCUGAAGCAGAUAAAUGCUGAUAACAGUUAAAACACAUUACUGACAGGAGCAGCAUGUUCUGUCCUCUAGAAAUACAUCAAUGUUGGAAAUUGCAAAGCUGUGUGCUACCAUGGGGAUGAGCAUGAUAGAAGAGCAGAGGAGGCCCUCACUGUUCAGCAGAGCUCUUCCACAGGAGGGUAGUAAGACCUUCUCCCUCCUUCCUCCAAGUACCUUGAGGUGUUGUUCAGGCCUGAGAAACACUGCUGAGCACUGUUGUGUUCCAACAGCCCCUCAGAGCCACAGCUGCCUGAUCUGUGCCUACAUAUCUGAAACACCAAGUGAGCCCCAAGUGUCUUGUUACCGCUCUUGAUUGUCCUUGCUGUUCAGCAUUAAGACCUGCGAGGAGUAAUUUCCAGCUGAGACCAGCUUCGUGCAGCUCACGUCAGCAUGUCUUGGGGAGAGGAGUUGGUUUUGGCUAAUCUGGGCUAAACCUUCCCUGGAGGAGUGCAGCUGCUGCACCAGCCUUCAAGAGCCAUACGAAGCCACUUGCUCCUCUCCCCAUCUGUCAGGGCUCUCUCUCAGGAAGGUACUGGAGUCAUCCCUGGUCUCUGGGGGCGGUAGUGGCUGCAGCUGCAAGCCACCCCCUGUGUCAAGAUGCCUUCCUCCGGAGGACCUGUCCAGGCUGAACAGGAGGAAAAAUGCUGUAAACCAAAGGUGGUUUUGGAGCAAACCUUGCUCCUACAAAGUCUGGAGGGAUAACUCAUAGAGAGCAAUUUUGAUGACAGGCUCAUCUACCUUCUUCAGUAUUUCCUGCACAGCUGUCUCCUACCAAUCUCCACAGCAAAGCACCCCAUGUGUGCAGGCACCCUUGAAAUUGCAGCAUAGUGCUUUCUUGUGGACAGCACAAAUGUCUCACAAAAAAAAGUACGAAAGGAGGAAGCUGCCAAGAGAGAAGUUAAGACCUUUCAGGCAUUAGGGUUUUUUUGAGUCAGACACUGCUCAGCUGUUGCAUUGCAGAUUUCUUAGCUAAAAACAGGCUUUCAUCAAAAUCAAAGACUCUUCAUGAGUAUAGGCGGCAGGAUCCUCCCACAAAAAGAGGGUUUUCUUCUUCAAAGGGCUCUCCUUAGAUUCCCCUACAAUAGAUUUCUUAAGGCUUGCCUGUAUAGCGAAGCUGAUUCAGAGCCAGCUGUGUGGAUCUGAAACAUCCCAGCCAUUAGGAAUGAAUUUGCUGUCCCGUUGUUCUCACUUCUGGAAUAAGAGUGCCUUUCUCCAAAGUGACCUAGUAGAGGAGUUGGCUGUGGAGGGAAGUUUUGUACAGUCCAGAAUACAGCGGAGCUGUUCCUCUGUACUGACUGCUGAUGUUAGUACUUGU